rnacentral:tRNA from 1 species
GCCUCUGUAGCUCAACUGGCAGCUUUUCUCAAGAAGAAACGUCAGGAAAGAGCACCUGUUUCGUAAACAGGAGGUUGGGGGUUCGACUCCCUCCGGAGGCU